GAAAGGCGCUUUCGGGUGUCGCUGAUGGAUGGACCCGCGGUGCAUUAGCUAGUUGGUGAGGUAACGGCUCACCAAGGCGACGAUGCAUAGCCGACCUGAGAGGGUGAUCGGCCACAUUGGGACUGAGACACGGCCCAAACUCCUACGGGAGGCAGCAGUAGGGAAUCUCCGGCAAUGGACGAAAGUCUGACCGAGCAACGCCGCGUGAGUGAAGAAGGUUUUCGGAUCGUAAAACUCUGUUGUUAGAGAAGAACAAGGAUGAGAGUAACUGUUCAUCCCUUGACGGUAUCUAACCAGAAAGCCACGGCUAACUACGUGCCAGCAGCCGCGGUAAUACGUAGGUGGCAAGCGUUGUCCGGAUUUAUUGGGCGUAAAGCGAGCGCAGGCGGUUUCUUAAGUCUGAUGUGAAAGCCCCCGGCUCAACCGGGGAGGGUCAUUGGAAACUGGGAGACUUGAGUGCAGAAGAGGAGAGUGGAAUUCCAUGUGUAGCGGUGAAAUGCGUAGAUAUAUGGAGGAACACCAGUGGCGAAGGCGGCUCUCUGGUCUGUAACUGACGCUGAGGCUCGAAAGCGUGGGGAGCAAACAGGAUUAGAUACCCUGGUAGUCCACGCCGU
rnacentral:rRNA from 1 species